UGCAGUCGAGCGGAAACGAGUUAUCUGAACCUUCGGGGAACGAUAACGGCGUCGAGCGGCGGACGAGUGAGUAAUGCCUAGGAAAUUGCCCUGAUGUGGGGGAUAACCAUUGGAAACGAUGGCUAAUACCGCAUAAUGCCUACGGGCCAAAGAGGGGGACCUUCGGGCCUCUCGCGUCAGGAUAUGCCUAGGUGGGAUUAGCUAGUUGGUGAGGUAAGGGCUCACCAAGGCGACGAUCCCUAGCUGGUCUGAGAGGAUGAUCAGCCACACUGGAACUGAGACACGGUCCAGACUCCUACGGGAGGCAGCAGUGGGGAAUAUUGCACAAUGGGCGCAAGCCUGAUGCAGCCAUGCCGCGUGUGUGAAGAAGGCCUUCGGGUUGUAAAGCACUUUCAGUCGUGAGGAAGGUAGUGUAGUUAAUAGCUGCAUUAUUUGACGUUAGCGACAGAAGAAGCACCGGCUAACUCCGUGCCAGCAGCCGCGGUAAUACGGAGGGUGCGAGCGUUAAUCGGAAUUACUGGGCGUAAAGCGCAUGCAGGUGGUUUGUUAAGUCAGAUGUGAAAGCCCGGGGCUCAACCUCGGAAUUGCAUUUGAAACUGGCAGACUAGAGUACUGUAGAGGGGGGUAGAAUUUCAGGUGUAGCGGUGAAAUGCGUAGAGAUCUGAAGGAAUACCGGUGGCGAAGGCGGCCCCCUGGACAGAUACUGACACUCAGAUGCGAAAGCGUGGGGAGCAAACAGGAUUAGAUACCCUGGUAGUCCACGCCGUAAACGAUGUCUACUUGGAGGUUGUGGCCUUGAGCCGUGGCUUUCGGAGCUAACGCGUUAAGUAGACCGCCUGGGGAGUACGGUCGCAAGAUUAAAACUCAAAUGAAUUGACGGGGGCCCGCACAAGCGGUGGAGCAUGUGGUUUAAUUCGAUGCAACGCGAAGAACCUUACCUACUCUUGACAUCCAGAGAACUUUCCAGAGAUGGAUUGGUGCCUUCGGGACUCUGAGACAGUGCUGCAUGGCUGUCGUCAGCUC
rnacentral:rRNA from 1 species